GAUGAACGCUGGCGGCGUGCCUAAUACAUGCAAGUCGAGCGAACGGACGAGAAGCUUGCUUCUCUGAUGUUAGCGGCGGACGGGUGAGUAACACGUGGAUAACCUACCUAUAAGACCGGGAUAACUUCGGGAAACCGGAGCUAAUACCGGAUAAUAUUUUGAACCGCAUGGUUCAAAAGUAAAAGACGGUCUUGCUGUCACUUAUAGAUGGAUCCGCGCUGCAUUAGCUAGUUGGUAAGGUAACGGCUUACCAAGGCAACGAUGCAUAGCCGACCUGAGAGGGUGAUCGGCCACACUGGAACUGAGACACGGUCCAGACUCCUACGGGAGGCAGCAGUAGGGAAUCUUCCGCAAUGGGCGAAGGCCUGACGGAGCAACGCCGCGUGAGUGAUGAAGGUCUUCGGAUCGUAAAACUCUGUUAUUAGGGAAGAACAUAUGUGUAAGUAACUGUGCACAUCUUGACGGUACCUAAUCAGAAAGCCACGGCUAACUACGUG
rnacentral:rRNA from 1 species